AUACCUUUCUCGGCCUUUUGGCUAAAAUCAAGUGUAGUAUCUGUUCUUAUCAGUUUAACAUCUGAUAUGUGAGCCAUCGGCUCACACGAUAUUAAAUUGAUUUUUUUCAUGGGGGAGUUCACAUCACAGCUGGGGUGGGCUGGCGCACCCCACCAAAUCUGAGAUAAACAGUUACUGUAUUUGAACGCCU